rnacentral:rRNA from 1 species
GAUGAACGCUGGCGGCGUGCCUAAUACAUGCAAGUCGAGCGAACGGACGAGAAGCUUGCUUCUCUGAUGUUAGCGGCGGACGGGUGAGUAACACGUGGAUAACCUACCUAUAAGACUGGGAUAACUUCGGGAAACCGGAGCUAAUACCGGAUAAUAUUUUGAACCGCAUGGUUCAAAAGUGAAAGACGGUCUUGCUGUCACUUAUAGAUGGAUCCGCGCUGCAUUAGCUAGUUGGUAAGGUAACGGCUUACCAAGGCAACGAUGCAUAGCCGACCUGAGAGGGUGAUCGGCCACACUGGAACUGAGACACGGUCCAGACUCCUACGGGAGGCAGCAGUAGGGAAUCUGCCGCAACGGGCGAAAGCCUGACGGAGCAACGCCGCGUGAGUGAUGAAGGUCUUCGGAUCGUAAAACUCUGUUAUUAGGGAAGAACAUAUGUGUAAGUAACUGUGCACAUCUUGACGGUACCUAAUCAGAAAGCCACGGCUAACUACGUG